CGCAAAGUUGGGAGUGAAGCUCCUGCUUUUAUGGGUGACGCCCAGAAAAACCGGCUCCUGGGCCGCGAUCCGGACUUUUCUGUCCUCUCCCCCGGGCGUCCCUGGCCAGAGGACCGCCGCUCUCCCCCUCCUUCAGCACCGCAGAGGCCACCUGGGGCAGGGGCUGUGAGGGGGGGCGGGGAGGGGGCUUCCCUGGACGGCUGGAAGGAAGCGGGCCAGGAGGGCCACCUUUCAGCCUCCGCCCCGCCCUCCGCCAGGAAUGAAAUAAUGAAGGAAACCCAGCAGAUGUUUGGCCCGUUUGAUCUCCGGUUGAAUAGGAACAAAGGAGCCCGAAGCCUCGGAGUCUGGAAAAGCAGUUAAGAAAAAGCGGAGCAGCAAAAGGAAGGGGGAAAACGACGGAUUCAGCGGGAAAGGAAAGGAGCCAGCCGGAAGGUAGGAGAAUCUGUUUGAAGGACAAAGGAGAACCAGAAUCCAGAAUCUACCCCCAGAGCAAGCAGGGGAUUAUGGUAUUGGCUGGCAUGGACAGGCUUGAAGCACUUUAGAGACGCACCCUAAAGGGGGGAACCCCGGAAGCUUCGGCUGGUGGCCAAAGACCAGCGUGGCUGCUUCCUCUCUGAGCGAACCCAGCAAUCAAAGGGAAAAGAUCCGAGGGAUUAAAUCACUGAAUUAACA